UUAGAAAGCUUCUUUCUUGUAUUUUGUGAUGGUGGUGCAUGGUCCGUUUUUUAGUUGGUGGAUUGAUUUUGUCUGGUUAAUUCUGAAAACGAACGAGACCUUAACCUGUUAACUAUGUGAUGUUAAAAUUCGACUUCGGUCUCAAUAUUUGAUAUUAAAAAUUUAAUACUUCUUAAAGGAACAAUUCAAACUUUAAUUGAAUGGAAGUUUAAGGCAAAAACAGGUCUGUGAUGCCCUUCGAUGUUCUGGGCUGCACGCGCGUUACACUGAUAUGUUCAAUGAGUUUUUAAAUUUCCUAGUCUGAAAAGACGUGGUAAACUUAGAAAAACAUAUCGUGAUUGGAAUAGUAUUUUGUAAUUAUCGCACUUGAACGAGGAAUUCCUAGUAGGGGCAAUUCAUCAAAUUGCCCCGAUUACGUCCCCGCC
rnacentral:rRNA from 1 species